AGUAAAUAGAUACCCGGGUAGUCCACGCCGUAAACGAUGAGUACUAGGUGUAGGAGGUAUCGACUCCUUCUGUGCCGCAGUUAAACACAAUAAGUACUCCGCCUGGGAAGUACGGUCGCAAGAUUAAAACUCAAAGGAAUUGACGGGGGCCCGCACAAGCAGCGGAGCAUGUGGUUUAAAUUCGAAGCAACGCGAAGAACCUUACCUAGACUUGACAUCUCCUGAAUAGUGUAGAGAUACAUGAAGCCCUUCGGGGCAGGAAGACAGGUGGUGCAUGGUUGUCGUCAGCUCGUGUCGUGAGAUGUUGGGUUAAGUCCCGCAACGAGCGCAACCCUUAUUACUAGUUGCUACCAUUAAGUUGAGCACUCUAGUGAGACUGCCCGGGUUAA
rnacentral:rRNA from 1 species